CGACAAGCGGAGGAGCGAUGUGGUUUAAUUCGAUGAUACGCGAGGAACCUUACCUGGGCUCGAACGUAAGAUGACUGUAGGUGAAAGCUUACAUCUCUUCGGAGCAUUUUACGAGGUGCUGCAUGGUUGUCGUCAGCUCGUGCCGUGAGGUGUCGGGUUAAGUCCCAUAACGAGCGCAACCCCUACCUUUAGUUGCCAUCAGGUUAAGCUGGGGACUCUAAAGGAACUGCCUACGCAAGUAGUGAGGAAGGCGGGGAUGACGUCAAAUCAGCACGGCCCUUACGUCCAGGGCUACACACGUGCUACAAUGGCCGAUACAGAGGGCAGCUACCUGGUGACAGGAUGCAAAUCUCCAAAGUCGGUCUCAGUUCGGAUCGGAGUCUGCAACCCGACUCCGUGAAGUUGGAUUCGCUAGUAAUCGCGCAUCAGCCAUGGCGCGGUGAAUACGUUCCCGGGCCUU
rnacentral:rRNA from 1 species